AAUAAAUAUUCUAAUUCAUUGAAAGAUUUUUUCAUUAAAUAAUUUUAUUUGAUAAAAAAAUCAAAAUUUAUUGAGCCAUUUUAUCUUCAUAAUUUUAAUUUUACAUUAAGUUAAAAAUAAUAAACUUUAUGAUGGUAUGAUAUAUUUAGCACAUGGAACAAAUUUUACAUGCAAAUUUCAAAUAAUUAAUAUGCAUUUUAUUAGUUUCAAUUAUUAGUAAAAUAUGUAAUUUUAUAUUCAAUAUAUGAUUUUUUUUUUUUUUUUGGUUUCAAAGGGGGCUAGUGCCCGUACAAGGAGAAGGGGGCAUGGCGGGGAUUGAACUCUCGUCUAAAUGACUUUCUAACGACCUCUUAACCACUAGGGCUUAGAGGGGAAAGUCAUU
rnacentral:lncRNA from 1 species